AUCGUAACUCCUACGGGAGGCAGCAGUGGGGAAUAUUGCACAAUGGGGGAAACCCUGAUGCAGCGACGCCGCGUGAGUGAAGAAGUAUUUCGGUAUGUAAAGCUCUAUCAGCAGGGACGAUAAUGACGGUACCUGACUAAGAAGCCCCGGCUAACUACGUGCCAGCAGCCGCGGUAAUACGUAGGUGGCGAGCGUUGUCCGGAUUUACUGGGCGUAAAGGGAGCGUGGGCGGAUUUUUAAGUGAGAUGUGAAAUACCCGGGCUCAACUUGGGUGCUGCAUUUCAAACUGGAAGUCUAGAGUGCAGGAGAGGAGAGUGGAAUUCCUAGUGUAGCGGUGAAAUGCGUAGAGAUUAGGAAGAACACCAGUGGCGAAGGCGACUCUCUGGACUGUAACUGACGCUGAGGCUCGAAAGCGUGGGGAGCAAACAGGAUUAGAAACCCGAGUAGUCCUAGAGC
rnacentral:rRNA from 1 species